rnacentral:rRNA from 2 species
GACAGAGGAUGCAAGCGUUAUCCGGAAUGAUUGGGCGUAAAGCGUCUGUAGGUGGUUUAUUAAGUCUACUGUUAAAGAUCAGGGCUUAACCCUGAGCAGGCAAUAGAAACUAAUAAGCUAGAGUACGGUAGGGGCAGAGGGAAUUCCCGGUGUAGCGGUGAAAUGCGUAGAGAUCGGGAAGAACACCAACGGCGAAAGCACUCUGCUGGGCCGAAACUGACACUGAGAGACGAAAGCUAGGGGAGCAAAUGGG